rnacentral:rRNA from 1 species
GACGAACGCUGGCGGCAUGCUUAACACAUGCAAGUCGAACGGCAAGGCCCUGUUUUUGUGGGGUGCUCGAGUGGCACACGGGUGAGUUACACGUGAGUAACCUGCCCUUGACUUUGGGGUACCUUCAGGACCCUGGGGCUAAUACCGGCUAGGAGCUCCUGCUGCCUGGGGGGCGUUGGACAGCUUCCGCGGGUGGGGAUGGAUUGUAGGGUUACCAGCUUGUUGGUGGGGGAGUGGCUUACCAGGGCUUCGACGGAUAGGCGGCCUGAGAGGUGGACCGGCGACAUGGGGACUGAGAUACGGAGCAGACGGCUACGGGAGGCAGAAGGGGGGAGUAUUGCACAAUGGGCGGAAGUCUGUGGUAGCGGCGUCGCGGGCGUGAUGACGGCCUGGGGGGUAUGAACCGCAUUCUCCUGUGACGAAGCGUGGGUGACGGUAACGGGUAAAGAAGCACCGGCUAACUACGUG